rnacentral:tRNA from 1 species
AACUUUGUGGCCUAACGGAUAAGGUGUCUGACUUCGGAUCAGAAGAUUGCAGGUUCGAGUCCUGCCAGGGUUG